rnacentral:miRNA from 1 species
UGACAGUCAGUAGUUGGUCUGGG